GACUGGGUGGUGUAGAGGUAACACAUCCGCAUUGAAUUAGCUGGAUAAGGGGUGGAUUAUCUUCUGCGGAUGAGCCCUGUUCGAUUCGGGGUCCGGUCG